GCGCCUGUAGCUCAGAUGGAUAGAGCGCGGCCCUCCUAAGGCUGAAGGGGUGGUUCGAGUCCACCCAGGCGCA
rnacentral:tRNA from 1 species